GAGGAAAGGAUUAAGCUUUUGCUGCCCCGCCACCAUCUAUCUCCAUGAAGUAUGGUGUCCACCUGAAGCUGUAUGGCACUACAGCCCAGCAGAGGCCUGUGGGAGGCUGGCUGUACCGCUUCCAGACCUGAAUUAACCUCUCAGCCUGUCGCCACACAGGGCUGUACGGAGGUACCAGCUCAGACUGGCACCACAUCAAGUAUUUCUAAACCACGGGUCACAGCAUUAUUUAGACAUGCUUGGAGGACAAUCCCAAGGCAAAGCAGACUUGUGUGCUCCACAUUAGGCAGGACAAAUGACGUGGAAUUUAAAAGUUAUGCCUGCUGUCUCUCAUGCCCCAUGCAGCACUGUGAAGAGUGUGGCUCCAUCUCCCCCUCCUCAUAGGUACUGGCAGCCUGUUGGUAGGUCCGCCCAAAGCCUUCUCUUCUCCAAGCUGAACCGGUCCAACUCCCUCAGCUUCUCCUCACAGGACAAGUGCUCCAGCCCCCAACCAUCUGCUGAACUCGCUCCAC